GAUGAACGCUGGCGGCGUGCCUAAUACAUGCAAGUCGAGCGAACAGACGAGGAGCUUGCUCCUCUUACGUUAGCGGCGGACGGGUGAGUAACACGUGGAUAACCUACCUAUAAGACUGGGAUAACUUCGGGAAACCGGAGCUAAUACCGGAUAAUAUAUUGAACCGCAUGGUUCAAUAGUGAAAGACGGUUUUGCUGUCACUUAUAGUUGGAUCCGCGCCGCAUUAGCUGGUUGGUAAGUUAACGGCUUACCAAGGCAACGAUGCUUAGCCGACGUGAGAGGGUGAUCGGCCACACUGGAACUGAGACACGGACCAGACUCCUACGGGAGGGAGCAGUAGGGAAUCUUCCGCAAUGGGCGAAAGCCUGACGGAGCAAGGCCGAGUGAGUGAUGAAGGUCUUCGGAUCGUAAAACUCUGUUAUUAGGGAAGAACAAAUGUGUAAGUAACUAUGCACGUCUUGACGGUAACUGAUCAGAAAGCCACGGCUAACUACGUG
rnacentral:rRNA from 1 species